UUGCUUCCCGCGCGUUCCUCUUUGCCCUAUCUUCCAUCCCCUUUCAGUAUGCUCUUCUCAAAUCAACUAAAAAAAGGGGAAAAAAAAAACGUCUGUCUUCUCUAGUCGCCAUUCUCUGUCUAACUAGAGCUCCCAGUCAUUACAGCCCCAACAGCACCAGCGUGGGAAGAGCCUCACAGACUGUCUGUAGCAGCGGCGGCAGCGACUUUCCACGGGUUCUCCAUCGGGCAUCCAGUCAAACUUUGAACUGGGAGCAAAACAGAAGCACUGAUGAACAGAGCCAAAACAAGCCAAUCAGGUUUUGGUUCAUAUUCUAGCUUUCACCAAGAAUAUGUAGAAUGUGGCCCUUGUAGAGGUCAGUACUCUGAUUUCUUUGGGUGAACUAACACUUCAACUAAUAACUGAUAUCACAUAUGACAUACCAAGGCCACAGCUUUUAAUUCAAGGUAGUGGAUUUUCUUAAUUGCAACUUCAAACUGCACUAAGUUCUCCAUUUUUCUGAGUUCCCAUUUGGGAACAUUUCAGCUGCAUGCUAUUUUUCUUUCCGCAUUGGACAGUUGAACCUCACCUAAUAUAAACAUAUGAGUCUCCUUUCCCUUCCAAAGAUGAGGCUUAUUUUUAAGGAGAUAAAUUUACAAAUGUUGGCAACCAGUAUGCUGCUGCUGAAUAAGAGUUGUGGAACUUGCUAUAAUGGCCAAGCAAAUUGACUGUAUGAUCAUAGUCUGGGUGAGUGCAAUUUCUGCGAGCUGCUCCAGAAUUUGGUCAUAAUCCUAUAGCUUACCUCCAACUCAAGAAUCAAUAUGAGACAUGCCCUUAGAAUCUCCCAUGAGUUGAUUGAUUCUUCCUUCACUUGUAAAAGUUUUGACUAAAUUUUUCUAAUUUUUAAAAUUGUAUAGUCGAAAAAUGGACCUAAAAAGGUACAUAGAUAAAUUUUUUUUUUUUUUUUUUAACUAAAAAAGAAAGAGAAUAUUUUGGUCUUAUCACAAAAGAAUUAAAUUCAUGCCAAGCAAACAUUCAUUACUUGUUUUGAUUUCUAUGCAAGUGGAGGUAGUUGGCUUCAUUUAAUACAUUCUAACUAGUGCCACUUGUCAACAAAACCCCUCUAAAAAAUUAGUAAAAUGGUAAAAGCUUGGCACUAAGAGUGAGAACAAGGGUUUGAGUACAAGUGCAGCUGGGUAGGCACUCUGCAAUUAA